ACUCCUACGGGAGGCAGCAGUGGGGAAUAUUGCACAAUGGGCGCAAGCCUGAUGCAGCCAUGCCGCGUGUGUGAAGAAGGCCUCGGUUGUAAGCACUUUUCAGUCGUGAGGAAGGUAGUGUAGUUAAUAGCUGCAUUAUUUUGACGUUUUAGCGACAGAAGAAGCACCGGCUAACUCCGUGCCAGCAGCCGCGGUAAUACGGAGGGUGCGAGCGUUAAUCGGAAUUACUGGGCGUAAAGCGCAUGCAGGUGGUUUGUUAAGUCAGAUGUGAAAGCCCGGGGCGUCAACCUCGGAAUAGCAUUUGAAACUGGCAGACUAGAGUACUGUAGAGGGGGUAGAAGUUUCAGGUGUAG
rnacentral:rRNA from 1 species